rnacentral:misc_RNA from 1 species
UCCACUCUAAACGAUUUUGGGUUCAAUUCAUCAAAUCAAUAAUACAACAGUAUUUCCUCUCUCUAUUUCUCCUUCUAAUAUUGGUGUUAUGGUGAUUAGAGAUUAUGUUAUGUAACAUAAGCACACUGAAAUCAAGCUAGGUUAUGCUUGGCACAUUUAAACAUGAGAAUAGUUUUAUUAAGUGACAUAUCUAUGGAUGGUUUUAAAUAGCAACCGUCACAUUAUAUAACGGCCGUUAUUUAUAGGUUUUUAAAAGUCUCGUUAACUGUUAGACCGUUAUUUAAAAGUAUAUCCUGGUUUGCAUGGGUAGCUGUUACCAAUGUUACGUAACGGCAACCGCCGUUACCCAUGCAAACUAGGAUAUGCCUUUAAGUAACAACCUAACGGUUAACGAGGCCUCUAAAUAACAUUAAAUAUCGAUUAAUGUUAUUUGCCGUUAAGUAACAAUAACAGCCGUUACCCCCAAUAACGCAGCAACUUAAAAAGGACAGCAGAUAGGCUUUCUUCAUUUUUUUUUUUUUUUUCAUUCUUUGCAUAUUGUAGCUUCCCAACCAGGGCUCCGAUCACAUUUUCUCUCAAAAUUUCA